rnacentral:lncRNA from 1 species
GGUAAAUGAUCUUUCUAGGAAGAUAUGGACAACAAAAUGAGAAGAACUGGAGGCGGUAAAGAAGGGUUUCUUUGAAUGCCUUGAGUGAUAUAUUGGAGGGUUUAUUUAUCCCAUGUAAAAGGAAUUAAAGAAUGGCCAAACAAAUGAAAAUUGCAACUGGAGUCUCCUUUCUACCACCCGACAAUGCCAAGCUUUCUGGGCAGAAGCAGCUGUAAAAUCUAAGAACUUUUAGUUUUUUUGUUGUAUUAAACUCAAUCUAGAAGGUCAAGGAAGGCAACCACCGCCCAGUCAGCCACUAGUUGUCACCGACCAGCCGCCAGUCGCCACCGCCUAGCCGCAUGCCGCCAGCCACCUUCACACCUAAAAGUUUUAUUUUUUUGUAUUCUCAAUUUGUGUAUAAAUAGGCAACUAAGCUUAUGUUAUUAUGUGUUGAGAGUUUAGAGAGAAACACUAGAAAGAGAGAGAGAGGGUGUGUAUUAAGCUUUUGUGUUAUUGUAAGCUUCUUGUUCUUGAA